AUUGAACGCUGGCGGAAUGCUUUACACAUGCAAGUCGAACGAUGAAGUCUAGCUUGCUAGACGGAUUAGUGGCGAACGGGUGAGUAAUAUAUCGGAACGUAUCCAUUAAUGGGGGAUAACUAGUCGAAAGAUUGGCUAAUACCGCAUACGUCCUACGGGAGAAAGCUAGGGACCUUCGGGCCUGGCGUUAAUGGAGCGGCCGAUAUCUGAUUAGCUAGUUGGUGAGGUAAAGGCUCACCAAGGCGACGAUCAGUAGCUGGUCUGAGAGGACGACCAGCCACACUGGAACUGAGACACGGUCCAGACUCCUACGGGAGGCAGCAGUGGGGAAUUUUGGACAAUGGGCGAAAGCCUGAUCCAGCCAUUCCGCGUGAGUGAAGAAGGCCUUCGGGUUGUAAAGCUCUUUCGCAAGGGAAGAAAACUUACCCUCUAACAUAGGGUGAGGCUGACGGUACCUUGAUAAGAAGCACCGGCUAACUACGUGCCAGCCGCCGCGGUAACAC
rnacentral:rRNA from 1 species